CCUACGGUAGGCAGCAGUGGGGAAUAUUGGACAAUGGGCGAAAGCCUGAUCCAGCCAUGCCGCGUGUGUGAAGAAGGCCUUCGGGUUGUAAAGCACUUUCAGUGGGGAAGAAAGCCUUGGGGCUAAUACCCUCGAGGAAGGACAUCACCCACAGAAGAAGCACCGGCUAACUCCGUGCCAGCAGCCGCGGUAAUACGGAGGGUGCGAGCGUUAAUCGGAAUUACUGGGCGUAAAGCGCGCGUAGGCGGUCUGAUAAGCCGGUUGUGAAAGCCCCGGGCUCAACCUGGGAACGGCAUCCGGAACUGUCAGGCUAGAGUGCAGGAGAGGAAGGUAGAAUUCCCGGUGUAGCGGUGAAAUGCGUAGAGAUCGGGAGGAAUACCAGUGGCGAAGGCGGCCUUCUGGACUGACACUGACGCUGAGGUGCGAAAGCGUGGGUAGCAAACAGGAUUAGAUACCCUAGUAGUC
rnacentral:rRNA from 1 species